UAUAUUUGCCAACUGGUUACGAACGACGUAAUCAAUCGCAUAAAAAUUAUUUAAAUAAUAUUGGAAUG
ncrna:unclassified sequences S15-Flavobacteria ribosomal protein leader